AGAAGAAGAAGUUACUCCUUUCCUCAUCCAAGUCACUAUGAAGCUGAAGAUCAAGAAACUCAUAUAGCUCCUCUGUUUCAAACAAUUCAAAAGACCAAAUCAUUAAAAGGAAGAAGAUCACUGCUCUCAUCAAUCUUCUUCUGCACAUAAAUAAACAAUUAACACAACUUCAACAUCAAUAUUGGACCAGAAAUGAGCAACUGAGAGAAGAUAUUAACAAAAGUAUAACCUCUUUGAGAAGGAUGGAUUCAGGAAAUGGACCGGUAGCUUCGUCAAGUCUAGUGGAGAAGCUAUGGUUGUCAUCUCUCUUGUUCUUCUUCUUUGCGGCGGCUAUCAAAGGAAGAGGAUCCUCUGCGGCCGAGAAUAGGAUUCAAACACACGUGUGGCGGUUGAUGAACAAAUCUCGGCCAUAUAAACUGGAUAUAAGAGACACUAGAGACCAAAAAGCGUGUAGGAGUGACUCCACCGGAGAAAGUACGACGGAGGAAAAACUGGUUUAGCGGAAGAGCAAGGAAUUAUGGGUUUAGAUAAAAAAAAUUAUUGUGAAAUAUUUCACUUUUGAACUUUAUUGUUUUCUAUCAUUGCCUAAACCGUCCUAUCUAGUUUCAUACUUUCAAACUAGUGUUUUUAUUCAAAUUUUUCAAGGACAUUUCCCCCCGCUGCACGUCAUUGGACUCAUCAAACAAAUAGUGCUCGACAAAAACACUAAAUCUCAAGCUAUUGGAAGUUGUAAAGUGUGCAGUAUUCUGGUUAGUGAGUUAAUGAUUAUCAAUUGAGCGAACAGUUAGUACACAAUAACCAUAUCCAACCUAACCCAUUCCAAAAUAUGGAUUAAGCAUUAGUAUGACAUAUUUGUUAUGUUUAAAAUAUGUCUAAGGUUGGAACUAAUUAGUCUAAUUUGUAAUCAAACAAAACAGAAGAAGAAAACAUCUAUAUAAAGGAAUAACAUUAGAGUCUACAAUUUUUUAAAAGAAAAUUUUGAAAUUGAUCUACCGGCAAAACUAAGGGUGGGCAUAAUAACCGAUACCCGAAUCCGAACCCGAACCCAACCCGAAGUAAGUGAUUCGGUUCAAGUUCGGUUAGUGCCAAAUACCCGAUCGGUUUUCAUCCUAUCCCUUUCGGUUAUUACCCGAUACCCGAACCUACCCGAACAUAACCGAACUUAACCAAAACCUUACCAUUUAUGAUUUAUUCCCUUUCCCAAAAUUGUGUCGUGCAAUAUACCCAAGCAUCAUACAAAUUGUUUAGUGUUCCCGAAAAUUAUGUUUCCUAGAUUCUUCUUAAGUAACUAAGAUUUAAUCUCAUAAAUUAACAAACUAGAAACCUUAAAUACUCAUUUUUUUUUCUUACUCGGUGACGUCGAAUAAAAGUAAUUGUCUCGCUUUUUUUCAGUUUCUUUCUUUUGUUUUGAUUUUGCGUGUAUGAUGAUUAGAAGUUUGAUUCUGUUUGUAUGAUGCGUAAAAGUUCGUCGAUUUUGUUUGACGUUUGGUUGUAAAGUUUAUUACAAGUAGAGGAAUGAAAUGUGGUUUACUUGUUUGUGUUCAGUAGAUGUUUGGUUUGAUUUACUUGUUUGUGCUCAUGUUUGUAUAAUGUUUCAGGAAUGGUUUCAAUACAGGUGAAAAUAUGUUUUUCAAAAAAAAAAUUGUUUGAAGUUCGGAUAUAUCCGAAAAUAUUCGAACCCGAAGUGAAAAAACCCGAACCCGACCCGAAAUGUCAAAAUAUCCAAAUAGGUUCUAUACUCUUAUAUCGAAAUACCCGAAUAUCCGAAAUACCCGAUCCGAACCCGAACGCCCACCCUAGGCAAAACAAUGGCCCGAAAUGUGCCAGACUGCCAGCUAUGCUAACAUAAACUGAAACUUUAGAUAUCAAAUGUUACUUUAUUAUGGGCUGCUAAUGGGCUAAUUAUAGGCCAACCAUGUUACUUCAAAUACGUAAAGCUUAGUAAAUGGACGGCUGAAAAUAAGGGCGUUUUAUAAGACUCGUUAAUCACUUAAUUGUUUAUACGGUUUAACAACAAAAUCUGACAUAUAUCAAACCACUAAGAGCGUGAUUAACAUAUAACAACCACUAAGGGCAUGACUGGUUCAAACGCAGCGGUUGCGGGAGUUUGUGAAUGCGGGCAGUUGCGGUUUCUAGCGGUUUUAAGAGAUUUGUACGACUGGUACUGCGGUUAAAAAUUGGUGCGCUUACGGGUGACUUAUAACUGGUUAACUACCAAAUACGGUAACAGUCAAAUAAUAAAUUAACAAUAUUUACAUUUAAUAUAAUUAUAAAAAUAUCAAAAAUCAUAAAAUUAUAAUAAAUAUAAAUUUAUAUUUAGAAAGUUAUAAUUUUAAUUUUUGAAAAUUUAUUGAAAUUGUUUUUAUUAUAAAAUAUUAUAAUAUUAAUUAAAAUAUAAUAGAUAUAUUUUAAUAUUUUCAUAAUUUCAAUUCUAAAUUUUUUAUUAAAUAUUUUUACUUUUGUAUAUAUAUUGUUUAAAAAAAAAGAAAAAAAAUUUACCCUCCCGCAACCGUCCACAACCGCAAAUGCUAGCUGAAGCCAGCUUUUGAAUUUAUGAGAUUCAGAGCGGUUUGAAGCGGUUUAGAGCGAUUUGAGUGAUUGUUGCAAACCACCGACAACCGCUACCAACCGCAAAAGCUGCGUUUGCGGGUGGUAGCGAGAAAACCAGUCGCCCCCUAAGACUCGUUAAUCACUUAAUUGUUUAUACAGUUUAAAAACAAAAUCUGACAUAUAACAAGAUCUGACAUAUAUUAAAAGAAAUUAAUAUUUUUCAUUUUAUAUGUUACUAUAUAUAUAUAUAUAUAUUAGAAAUAUAUUCAUUAAAAAUAAAUAUAUUGUAAAUAUAUUAUACUAAUUUUUAUAAUAAUUUUAAAUAGCAUAAUCAUACUGCUCUACCAAUCAUCUUAUUAAACAGUUUAGCAAAAGCAUACAUAUCUCAUGCAACAUACUGCUUCUUUAGCAUACUGCUACUGCUAAUGCUAACGGUCUACCAAUCAAGGCCUUAGUCGAAGUUCGUAAUUCAUGAUUUGACAUUUUUUUGGUUAAGAGACGGCUCUUAUAUCUAUAUUUAAGAGACAAUUCCUAACUUUUCUUAAUUUAAAUAUAAGAAAAACUAAGAACCGUCUGUUAUUCAAAACUAAAAAUUCCAAUUAAGAGACUGAGGUUAAUCAUAGUCUAAUUCUAAUAAUUAUUUACUUAAAAAUGAUGAAUAUUUAGAGCAGUUCUUUGGAAAAUUCUAUUAAACUUUUAUUUUCCUUACUUUUGCAUGCUACACAUACUUGCAUUACAGCUUUUCACUACCAGAUCAACUAAAGUAUUGUUAUGUUAUGGGGCCAAAACUAAAACUAACAAAAAUGUUGGGCAUAAAACGGAAGAUCUCUGGAGCAUGGUACCAAAGAGAAGUGAACGGACUGAUUGAUAUGGGCAAGAAAACAAACGAAACAAAAAAAAUCAUAGUAUCAUUCUUACUUGUAAGAGCCUUGUCGUAGUUUUCUGUUUACAAAAAAAAUGUUUUUGAAGAUAUCAACUGAAAUGUAUUAUACUGAAGACUUGUUAAGAGUGAAUACGUAUAUACAAAUAGUAGUACUACCGUUCACACAUUAAACGAAAUAUUAAUUUGACUUAGGAACCCAGGUCUGUCAAUGGAUUCUUUUUCGCGUCAUCAGUUUGAUUAUAAAACAGUAUAGUAUUAGACUACUAGUUUAGUACGUUACUAGUUUAUAGCAUUAUUUUGACCAUUUAUGCCUUAGGAGACUGUGAUUUUCCCGCACGCCCACAAAGUUUCUAUUCCCCACAAAUCUUAAGACUUUUGAUUACUUCACUUUUAAAUAACUUUUUUUCUUGAACCAUUUUAUAUAGCAUUUUUUGUGGAACAACCAUUUUAUAUUAGCUAAAAACGAAUUCGAUCACUUUUAAUUAUAUUUCAAUCAAUGUUACUUCGCCUACUUCAUUUUUCAGAGGACGGAAACUCAUUUGAAUAGAGAAUAACAAUAUAUUCAAAACACAAGAGAUGAAUAAACUUCAUAAGAAGUUAGAAAAAAUAAUUUUAGGAAAUUGCAGACUUGAGAAAUAGGAACAACACAUGGACAUCAUCGUUUCUGAAGAAUGUUAUUAUAUAGAGUAUGAAUUUUUGUAUAUAAACAUGAUAUAUUUUGAAAUUUGAAGUCUAAAGUUUUGUCCCUAGAAUUGAGGAAUUCCAUUUACCAAGAUUCUCUUAAUUUGCUCAAUCUCAGUCUCUUCACCAAUUAGCGAAUAAUUAUGUUUAGCUAGUAAGCCUAGUCCAGCUAGGUUGAGUUAUGAAGUAAAAAAUGUUACAAUAAAUAACGUGGGAUAUACGUUAUAUGAAACAUAUAUACAUUUUAACAGGAGGAAACCAAUGAAAAGAACUGUUGACAAAGAAAGCAAAGGUGAAAAUGAAACACAGUUUCGAGUUUUUAUUUGACCUGUUGACUUUUAUUUCACUUAUUAGGAGGACCAACGAAACUGCUAACUCAGAGAAGAGGACCACCUUCCGGGCAGAACGGUCACGUGUUCGGGCAGGUUGGUUAAUGAAUAUCGUAACGAUGACGUCAUCAAGCUCACCUAAAUAGUAGCUCUUUCGGCAUUGACGACGCCACAAUCCCUUGCAAAGGUCCAAUUGGGCCCCGGCCCACGAAGGUUAUUAUUUAUUUAUUUCUCUCUUUGCCUUAUAAUCACUCCUCACUUGAUUCCUUCUCCAUCAUAUAUCUCACCGUUUAUCAAGACUCUCUCUCUCUCUCUCUCUCUCUCUCUCUUAAAUGGAACAGAGAGAAGAGCUCUCAUGGAUGAAAGAAGCGAAACAGGAGUUUCUCCAAGGCAGUAGCGUGAACAUAAACCUCAUGAUGCAUAGAGAUUAUUGGGUCCGUUGUGCUGAAACAUUAAGUUUCUUUUCGGAACUCCAAUUACAUUGAUAAUCUGGUGUUAUCCCAACUUGAGCUCAUUGUCAAUUUUUUUUUUCUUUUUUUAAACUUCUUUCUUCCACUGAAUGAUUUUUAUUUUCUUGACCUUGUAAGGCCUUUUCUUGACCUUGUAAGACCCCAUCCCUUUCUAAGUGUCUCCUUCUUCUAUCAUUUUACAGAUUUUCUUUUAUCUCUUUUUGGUGUAAGAUAUGUAUGUAUAUCUACCCCUAGUUUGUCUGAGUCAUCUUCUCCUACCUUGUCUAUCCCUCCUGAGCUAGUCCUUGUAUCUUUUUGUUAGUCCAUUGAUAUAAAUUUCAAAAAAAAAGAACUUAGUUUUAACAUUUGUUUGUGUUGGUUGUGUUGUUGUUAUAAAAGUUAAAGGAGGUAAAAAAAAAGUCUCACUAUCAAGGGGACUGGCAAAAGGUAAUGAAUAAGGAAACGGGCAAAAAGAAUUAUGCCUUUA